GCUCCGAGGGGAAAAAUCUAAACAUUGCCAGAAACGGACGGGGAAGUCAGUCUUCUCGCUUAUUUUAACCUAAACAUUUUCGUCCUCUUUUUCUAAAAACAAAAAGUACUUUUUUUUUGCUUCCCCCCCCUCUGCGGGUUCGAAAGGGAAACUCCGUGCAAAUAUUGACGCAUUGUUCAUUCCUAACUCAGUGCUGGUGUGAUCGCUGCGUAGAGACACGUUGCCCAAAUGGCAAAUUUUAUCAGUGAACGAUUCUGCGAGCCGCAAAAGUCUUAGGAUAUUUGACAACAAACGGAGCAGGGGAUUGAUUCCACAGGAUCCCAGUUUAUUAAAAAAAAACCAGCAUUUCACAACUGGGCGAUUUACCGUUUCAAUCUCGCACCUCCAGCAUUCGAUUUUAUUUUGAAAUUGGAGACCAGGAGGAUGUGAACAAUUUAACCUCUCUCUUCCGCUUUUGGGAGACACGACUGGGAUAAGAGAGCCGGGACCCACCGUCACAGACUCAACACACGCCUACAUACUCAAAAUAGAAAGACAAGCCGGGAUCAAACCCCACCCGUGCCACUGGAGGGUCAAUAACUUGUGACCCCUUCCGCCCCGAACUCUCCCUCCUCUCAGAGCGGCAGGUUUUUUUUCGCGUGUGUAUUUAGAUUUGCAUCAUCCUCCUGGGUGAGACACGGGUGUUCUUUAAGGAUCUGAGACUUUUUGAGUUUGUACUGAUUCACUGCUUCAGUCCAGUUUGGUUCUUCCAAAACUUGGAAAAUGGCAGCACCGAUUGACAGAUAGAAGAUGAUGGCUGAGAACAGUCCCUUGUUAAAGUCUUGGGGUGACCACCAGCAAAAAUAGGAGAUCCUCGGGAAAAAAAACGCAGUCACCAUCCGAUUGAACUCUGAGGGGGAGGAACCCUUGCUUGGGACAUUAAUUGAUGUGUGGAUAAAGGAGGUUAAGUUCAAGUUUUCAAGUUGUUUCUGAGUAAAUGAUAAGGAAGUAAAUUGGAAAGCGGAGUCAUAUUGGAUAAGUGCCUCCACAUCUUUGCUUUUCAUGUGACAAAAAUAUUGUGUUUUUCUAGUUUAUGUACAUUCCUAUUGUGCCAAUUUAUUUUGAAUAAAAUUAUCUGUUCAACUUGAAUUCCUGUAACAUGCAGCAGUAUAAAGUUAAGUCCUGGUGCCACAAUGGACAGAGUGGCGGCUAAGUUAAGAUGCAGCCAUAACUUCUUAACCAAACACAAUACUUUGUUUUCAAAACAUUCUCACUAAAGUGCCUCUUGAAGGCCAGUACCAGGAAUAAAGCAAUUUGAAGAAACAUCCACUCAAGAUCUAUUCAGUUCUGAGAGAGGGUCACUGCAUUCAAAACUUUAACUCUGCUUUCUCUUUAUUCUGCUGCCCGACCUGCUGAGUUUCUCCAGCAAAUUCUUUGUUUCAAUUUACACCAUCUGUAGUUCUUUGUUUUAUUGAAACACUCAUUCAAGAUGUCAUAGAAUUUCUAUUGUGUGGAAGUGGGCCAUUCAGCCCAGUGAAUCAUACCAACCCUCUGAAGAGCAUCCCAUCCUAAUCUAUUCCUGUAACUCUGCACUUCCUAUAGCUAAUACAUCUGUGCACAUCCCUGAAUAAUAUUGGCAAUUUAGCAUAGCAAAUCAACCUCAUCUUUACAUCUUGAACUGUGGGAGAAAGCCCACACAGUCACUGAAAGAAGAUGAAAAAUCUCCAGGGAUAGUCUCCCAAGGCUGGAAUCAACCCCAGCCACCAUGCCAACCUUCAAGACGUCUGUCAAGAUUUGAGAACCCAAGAUUUCUACAAAUGGUGCUACUGUAAUUUUUCCUCCUGUAAUUUUCAGAGGUCUGUACACAGCAGCACCUUUCAGUACUGCAAGCUGAUUUGGCAUGCGUAUUUCAUCCAAGUGACCAUGUGGCUAUGUAGCUGAGAAGGAGCACUGCCGAGGAAACAAUACAUCGACUAAACAGCCAUGGUCUCGGGUUCAACUAUUAACUCAAGGAUAUCUUAAAUUGCAAAUGCUUUUCUUUCCUGUUUGAAGCCAUCAUUCUUCUCAUC